rnacentral:rRNA from 1 species
UGGGGAAUAUUGGACAAUGGGCGCAAGCCUGAUCCAGCCAUGCCGCGUGAGUGACGAAGGCCUUAGGGUUGUAAAACUCUUUCGUCGGGGACGAUAAUGACGGUACCCGAAGAAGAAGCUCCGGCUAACUUCGUGCCAGCAGCCGCGGUAAUACGAAGGGAGCUAGCGUUGUUCGGAAUCACUGGGCGUAAAGCGCACGUAGGCGGAUAGUUAAGUCAGGGGUGAAAUCCUGGGGCUCAACCCCAGAACUGCCUUUGAUACUGGCUGUCUCGAGGUCGAGAGAGGUUGGUGGAAUUCCUAGUGUAGAGGUGAAAUUCGUAGAUAUUGGGAGGAACACCGGUGGCGAAAGCGGCUCUCUAGACCGAUAUUGGCGCUCAUACGCGAGAGCGUGGGUAGCAAACAGGAUUAGAUACCCCGGUAGUCCCUGAGCGGGCUGGCAAGGCGCAU